rnacentral:rRNA from 1 species
UACGAAGGGAGCUAGCGUUGUUCGGAAUCAGCUGGGCGUAAAGCGUGUCGCAGGCGGCUAUCCAAGUCAGAGGUGAAAUGCCGGGGCUCAACCCCGGAACUGACCUUUGGAAACUGGAUGGCUAGAGGACUGGAGGGGUUAGGGGAAUUUCUAAUGUAGCGGUGAAAUGGCGUAGAUAUUAGAAGGAACAACCAGUGGCGGAAAGGCGCCUAACUGGACAGUCACUGACGCUCAUGCACGAAGCGUGGGGAUCAAACAGG